UACGGGGGGGGCAAGCGUUGUUCGGAAUUACUGGGCGUAAAGGGCUCGUAGGCGGCCAACUAAGUCAUACGUGAAAUCCCUCGGCUUAACCGGGGAACUGCGUCUGAUACUGGAUGGCUUGAGUUCGGGAGAGGGAUGCGGAAUUCCAGGUGUAGCGGUGAAAUGCGUAGAUAUCUGGAGGAACACCGGUGGCGAAGGCGGCCACCUGGGCCGGAACUGACGCUGAGGCGCGAAAGCGUGGGGAGCAAACGGG
rnacentral:rRNA from 1 species